rnacentral:piRNA from 1 species
CAAAGACAUUGAGAGACUGGCUGAGGUA